AGAGUUUGAUCAUGGCUCAGAACGUACGCUGGCGGCACGCCUAACACAUGCAAGUCGAACGCAGUAGCAAUACUGAGUGGCAGACGGGUGAGUAACAUGUGGGAAUCUGCCUUGUGGUUCAGGACAACAUUGGGAAACCGAUGCUAAUACUGGAUAAGCCCUUACGGGGAAAGUUUUAAUGCCAUAAGAUGAGCCCGCAUUUGAUUAGUUAGUUGGUGAGGUAAUGGCUCACCAAGACAAUGAUCAAUAGCUGAUCUGAGAGGAUGAUCAGCCACACUGGGACUGAGACACGGCCCAGACUCCUACGGGAGGCAGCAGUGGGGAAUCUUGCACAAUGGAGGAAACUCUGAUGCAGCGAUGCCGCGUGAGUGAAGAAGGCCUUUGGGUUGUAAAGCUCUUUUGUAGGGGAAGAUAAUGACUGUACCCUAAGAAUAAGGUCCGGCUAACUUCGUGCCAGCAGCCGCGGUAAUACGAAGGGACCUAGCGUAGUUCGGAAUUACUGGGCGUAAAGCGCGCGUAGGCCGUUGAGUUAGUUAAUUGUGAAAUCCCAAAGCUUAACUUUGGAACUGCAAUUAAAACUGCUCGACUAGAGUUUGAUAGAGGAAAGCGGAAUACAUAGUGUAGAGGUGAAAUUCGUAGAUAUUAUGUAGAACACCAGUUGCGAAGGCGGCUUUCUGGAUCAACACUGACGCUGAGGCGCGAAAGUAUGGGUAGCAAAGAGGAUUAGAUACCCUCGUAGUCCAUACCAUAAACGAUGAUUGCUAGAUGUUGGAAAUUUAUUUUCAGUAUCGCAGCUAACGCAUUAAGCAAUCCGCCUGGGGAGUACGACCGCAAGGUUAAAAACUCAAAUGAAUUGACGGGGACCCGCACAAGCGGUGGAGCAUGUGGUUUAAUUCGAAGAUACGCGCAGAACCUUACCAACCCUUGACAUGUCUGUCGCGAGUUUAGGAAACUAGACUUUU
rnacentral:rRNA from 1 species